rnacentral:rRNA from 1 species
CCUACGGGGGGCAGCAGUGAGGAAUAUUGGUCAAUGGGCGGGAGCCUGAACCAGCCAAGUCGCGUGAGGGAUGACGGCCCUAUGGGUUGUAAACCUCUUUUGCCGGGGAGCAAAGUGCCGCACGUGUGCGGUUUGGAGAGUACCCGGAGAAAAAGCAUCGGCUAACUCCGUGCCAGCAGCCGCGGUAAUACGGAGGAUGCGAGCGUUAUCCGGAUUUAUUGGGUUUAAAGGGUGCGUAGGCGGAUCGUUAAGUCAGUGGUCAAAUUGAGGGGCUCAACCCCUUCCCGCCAUUGAAACUGGC